rnacentral:lncRNA from 7 species
GGUGGAUGUGGGAGGAGUAUGACUGGCAAUGCAUCCAGUUGAAGCUGUUCCUGGUGCCGGGGUGUUGAAAUGCUGUAAACCCUUAACUGUCAAGUCCUCCAGCAUCACUGGGUUAGAAAGGAGAUCCAAGACGGACACAGGGAGGGAACCAGUUUGAAGCUCAAGGAAGGAGACCCCCAGCUCUCUGUGAAGGAUGGGCGUGAGCUGGCAUCGAGUCAGAACGUCCUUGUGAAGGUGGGAGAGAACUGGAGCGUUGGGGCUCCUCUGCCUUUGAAACCACCUUUGUGUGAGCAAGAACUGGAGCUGUCCUGCAUAGGAGAUGUGUAUGGGCUUUGCUACGGAGAACAACAGCUCUUCUGUGGCUGACAGCCUAACACUGGGAUGAAGAGCACCCCACACGUGGCUGAUCUGGAGGCUGCUGCAGUUGCCAGAGCGGGACCCAAGCAUGGAUGAUCCUGAGAAACCUGCACAGCGACGGCCCCUGGACUCCCCUGACUGGGAAGAGGUUAAUUUAAACAGCCUGAAAAGCAGCAAAGGGAAAAGUCAUCUUUCAUGAGAUGGAACUGUGACUGUCCCUUUCUGAGGGACAGCCCUGUACCAGGGAUGCAAGCUAGCAUGUGGUCCUACCCUUUGCAAGAUCCUUUGUGUAUGCAGCCUCCGAUUCCUUCUCCUCCAGUUCCUUAUCUUAGCUUGUAAAACAUGCCGCAUAUGGC